rnacentral:lncRNA from 1 species
AAAAAUAAGACAAAAGCUUCCCCUCAAGUUCUGCUUUUGUUGAUCUUGUUUUCUAUUUCAAAGUAGCUUUUGUUACCAAAUGAGCUGUCAGCAUAAAAUGCUCUGUAAGAGGAGAGUGACCUGACAGUUUUCUGGCUAGUCACAUCCAGGGUUCCUGUAUUUAAGUUCUAUUAAAAAUGAAUCAAGGGCUUGAGAGAUGGCGCAGCAGUUAAGGCUGUUCUUCCAGAGGUCCUGAGUUCAAAUUGCAGCAACCACUUGGUGGCUCACAACCAUAUAUAAUGGGAUCCAAUGCCGCCUUCUCGUGUGUCUGUUUGUUUUGUUUGUUUUUCGAGACAGGGUUUCUCUGUGUAUCCUUGGCUGCCCUGGAACUCACUUUGUAGACCAGGCUGGCCUCGAACUCAGAAAUCUGUCUGCCUCUGCCUCCCGAGUGCUGGGAUUAAAGGUGUGUGCCACCACGCCCGGCUUCUCAUGUGUCAGCUACAGUAUACUCACAUAAACUAAAUAAAAUUAAAUAAAAUUAAAAAGUGAAUCAAGGAGACAUGACAUUAUAUGGUAGUGUUUAGAUUUUAUAUUUUAUUUUAAUUUAAUUUUUUAAAAAAAGAUUUAUUAUUAUAUGUAAGUACACUGUUGAUGUCUUCAGAUACCCUAUCACAGAUGGUUGUGAGCCACCAUGUGGUUGCUGGGAUUUGAAUUCAAGACCUUUGGAAGUGCUCUUAACCCCAAUUUUUUAAAUUUAAAUUUUUAUUUAAUUUUUGGUUCUAUCUGGGCUUACCUUGUGGUUCUAGCUGGACUUUAACUCACAGAGACCUCUGUCUGUUGGAAUUAAAGGUGAGUUCUUCCAUGCUCAGCUGUAAUUCACUGAGUUUGAAAACUGCUAAAAGAACAGUAAAGUUAUGUUUGGCAUUAGGGUCUUCUGGUGAGAUUAAUAACUUCUAGUGUAAUAGCCAUUCCUCAGUCCUCAGACUUACUGUUGAGUGUUACCUUUAAAAAAAAAUCACAUACUUUGCUAAAAAGAAAAUAGAAACCUAUCUUCUUUUCUAUUUUGAGUUUGAGUUGUAUCAGCUUUGAUACAACAUUUUCUAUUUAUUUUACCCAGAUUCCUAAAUGUACCUAAAGUGGCGUUUUUCAUUGCUUAAAAGGGGGAGGGGGGACAGUGUCUUUAGGGUUCUUUACUUUCUUUUGUUUAUUAAUUGGCUUGGUCUGUAUCUUAUUUUUCUCUUUUAGAUAGUAUUUGCCAGGCAUAGUGGUGCAAAUCUUGAUGCAUAGGUAUUUGCAAGUGUGUAUGUUUAAGAACAGCUCAGUCAGCUUAUCGGUUGGCUGGCUCUGUGUCUGUCUGCCUUUGCUCUGUUUCUGAGACAGAAUGAAUGGUCCUGUGUCCAUCAGGCUGGCCUUGAAUUCUCCGGCUUCAGUUUCUGGGGUGUGAGGUUACAGGUGCCAUAAGAGAGCUCUGCAACUCUCCUUACUGAGUCUUGGUUGUUUUUGUUUUUUGAGAUAAGGAUCUUUCUGUAUAGCUCUGGCUGUCUUUGAACUAAAAAAUCUGUAGACCACGUUGGCCUCAAAAUUCGAAGCCCUUGCUUCUCCUGCCCCUGCCUCCUGAGUGCUGGGGUUAAAGGCAUGCACCAUCAUGCUCUGCUUGGCCCCCUUUUGUUCUCUUUUUAAAAAAAUACUGUAGCCUUGCUAGGCCACUGAGUCUUAAGAAAUGGGGGUGUGGCUGGGCGUGGUGGCGCACACCUUUAAUCUCAGCACUGGGGAGGCAGAGGCAGGUGGAUUUCUGAGUUUGAGGCCAGCCUGGUCUACAGAGUGAGUUCCAGGACAGCCAGGGCUACACAGAGAACCCUGUCUCGAUAAACCAAACCAAAUC